UAACCUACGGGAGGCAGCAGUGGGGGAUAUUGCACAAUGGGGGAAACCCUGAUGCAGCGACGCCGCGUGGGUGAAGAAGCGCCUCGGCGCGUAAAGCCCUGUCAGCAGGGAAGAAAAUGACGGUACCUGAAUAAGAAGCACCGGCUAAAUACGUGCCAGCAGCCGCGGUAAUACGUAUGGUGCAAGCGUUAUCCGGAUUUACUGGGCGUAAAGGGAGCGCAGGCGGCGCGCCAAGUCUGAUGUGAAACCCCGGGGCUCAACCCCGGGCAUGCAUUGGAAACUGGCGGGAUGGAGUGCCGGAGAGG
rnacentral:rRNA from 1 species